UGCCUGUAUAUUCUAUUACCUUGUAUUGUUGGAUGGAUUAGCAGUGUCUUUCUAAUGCAGAACACCUCUGAGGCUGUGGGCCAGAGUGAAAAGCGGAAUCUGAGUGCAGUGGUACACACAGAUACACAAUAACACACAAACAUACUCACAUAUACACACUGAAACUCACAGAUACACACUGACACACCCAGAUGCACACAUACUCACAGAUACACACCGACACUCACAUAUGCACACUGACACUCACAGAUACACACACAUACACACUGACACUCACAGAUACACACAUACACUCACA